GUGUUGAUGACACUGUUUUGCAGGUGUGACUGGCUUUCAGCUAAGGCACUGUAUUGUACUGGAUUCAAACUGGGAACUCCUUUAUCCUCCUGUGUUCCUGUCCUACGUCUGCAUUGAGAACACAGCUCUGCUCCAGCCCUCAAGAACCUCUUCAACUGCUUCAGCCUCAGUCCCUAGCACCACCUCUUUGGUUGUCAGCAUGGCAAGCCGUAUGAACACUGCAAACAGCCUUGGCCUGAGUGUUACCGGUGUGUCUAUAGCAGCUGCUACCACAUGGACAGCUCCCUUGGCGUCUUCAGGUUUGCAAUAUUAACUGGCAGAGGAGGAGGGUUUUGUUUUUUUCUAAAAAUGGAGUAAAUUGAUAAGUAGAAA